rnacentral:rRNA from 1 species
UACGUAGGGUGCGAGCGUUGUCCGGAAUUAUUGGGCGUAAAGAGCUCGUAGGCGGUGUGUCACGUCGGCCGUGAAAACCUGCAGCUUAACUGUGGGCGUGCGGUCGAUACGGGCAGACUGGAGUACUGCAGGGGAGACUGGAAUUCCUGGUGUAGCGGUGGAGUGCGCAGAUAUCAGGAGGAACACCGGUGGCGAAGGCGGGUCUCUGGGCCGAUACUGACGCUGAGGAGCGAAAGCGUGGGGAGCGAACAGG